rnacentral:rRNA from 1 species
GUUACCUACGGGGGGCAGCAGUGAGGAAUAUUGGUCAAUGGGCGGGAGCCUGAACCAGCCAAGUCGCGUGAGGGAUGACGGCCCUAUGGGUUGUAAACCUCUUUUGCCGGGGAGCAAAGUGCCGCACGUGUGCGGUUUGGAGAGUACCCGGAGAAAAAGCAUCGGCUAACUCCGUGCCAGCAGCCGCGGUAAUACGUAGGGGGCAAGCGUUAUCCGGAUUUACUGGGUGUAACGGGAGCGUAGACGGCGCG